GCACAAGCGGUGGAGCAUGUGGUUUAAUUCGAGGCAACGCGAAGAACCUUACCAGCCCUUGACAUCCCGGUCGCGGACUCCAGAGACGGAGUUCUUCAGUUCGGCUGGACCGGAGACAGGUGCUGCAUGGCUGUCGUCAGCUCGUGUCGUGAGAUGUUGGGUUAAGUCCCGCAACGAGCGCAACCCCCGUCCUUAGUUGCUACCAUUUAGUUGAGCACUCUAAGGAGACUGCCGGUGAUAAGCCGCGAGGAAGGUGGGGAUGACGUCAAGUCCUCAUGGCCCUUACGGGCUGGGCUACACACGUGCUACAAUGGCGGUGACAAUGGGAUGCUAAGGGGCGACCCUUCGCAAAUCUCAAAAAGCCGUCUCAGUUCGGAUUGGGCUCUGCAACUCGAGCCCAUGAAGUUGGAAUCGCUAGUAAUCGUGGAUCAGCACGCCACGGUGAAUACGUUCCCGGGC
rnacentral:rRNA from 1 species